rnacentral:lncRNA from 1 species
CCAGUAAAAAAAAACAAAAGAGAAACAGAUGGAUUAAUUAUUGCUCACGGUAGAUUUUUAAAAAGUGAAAAAGAUAGAGAAACAAGCAUAAGAAAUGAUAUUAAAUCAUAUACUUAAGCUUGAGGUUUGUCCCACUUGAGUGGCUUCACGACCUCCCAGGUGAAGUCAGGGUCGUCCCUUCCGAAAUGUCCAUACGCCGCCGUUUUCAAAAACCUCCCGUUGCCUCCUCUCUUCAAGUCCAAGUUGAUCGUCAUCAUCCCCGGUCUGAAAUCGAAGCUCUCCUUCACGAUCUUCAGUAUCUCCUUGUCGGGAAUCAGCCCUGUUCCGUAAGUGUCCACGAACACAGACAACGGCUCGGGCACUCCAAUGGCGUAGGAGACCUGAACAAGAGCCCUACGAGCCAUCCCGUUAGCGACCACGCUCUUGGCGGCUUGCCUCACGAUGUAGGCUCCGCUUCUGUCGACCUUGGUCGGGUCUUUCCCUGAGAAAGCACCUCCUCCGUGAGCUCCCCACCCUCCGUAAGUGUCGAUGAUGAUCUUACGUCCGGUUAAACCGGCGUCACCGUGCGGUCCACCGAUCACGAACCGGCCUGAUGGGUUGAGGUGGAAGAUGGUUUUGUCGUCAAGGUACUUCUCCGGGAUGAUGGGCUUGAUCACGUGCUCCUUGAGGUCACGUGCGAUCUCGUCGUUGGUCACGGUCUCAUCGUGCUGGGUCGAGAUGAGGACGGUGUGGACACGGACCGGAACCAUCGCGCCGUUGUCGUUGUAGUACUCAACAGUCCAGUCUUAUCCUCUUUUUUAAAAAUCAAACAUACUAUCAAUUUAUCAUUCAAAUGAAAAAAAAAAGCAAGUUGAGAGUUGUUAAAUGACACUAGUCCCUUACAAUGACUAUAGAUAAAACACAAUAUGUUAUCUGUAUUAUUGAUAGGUAUGGGUUAAGUUUCUAGGAUAUAUAGUAGAUUAUGACUUAAUGUAUGAUGAAUUAAAAAAUUAAGUAUAUUUGGGUGAUAUUAAAUGACGUAAAGAUUUGGAGUUCCAGGUUGGCGACCUGGUAUACCUGAAAAUGAGGACAUUUCAGGGAGGAUCUAAGACUCGGAAGCUGAAGAAGCUUAAACCGAGAUAUAUGGGACCAUAUCCCAUUUUGGAGCGAAUUGGAGAAGUUGCUUACCGAUUGGAUUUAUCCGAAGAGUUAUCAGAUUUCCAUGUUUUGAGGAAAGUCGUGAAAGAACCGGAGCUCAUUUUGCAGCAGCCGCCCAAUGACCUUGGUAGGAAUUUGCGUGCGCCGUGUCAGCCAGUAGAGCUAUUGGAUCGCCAAGUGAGAGCAGAUGAUGGUAUGAUGACUAUGUUGGUCAAAGUUCGUUGGGAGAGAGAUGGUAUUCAGGAGGAGACUUGGGAGUCCGAGCCCCAGAUGAGGAUUGAUUAUCCGGAGCUUUUCCGGGUUGACAUUGGGCAUGACAGCUUAUGAAUUGAAUUCGGGGACGAAUUCCUUGUAAGUAGGGGAGAAUUGUAAUGACCCUAAAUGUAAUGACCCCAAAAAGUAUAAACCGGAUUAAUUAAUUAAAUAAUUGAUCUUUGACCAGCGGGUUGACUUUUCCGUAAAUACCCGUUUCAAACCGUUCGAAAGGCGUUCUGACUCGAAAUUUCGAUCUGAUUUCAGAUUUGGAGUCCAUUUGAGCAGCUGGAGUUUCUAGAUUUCAUUGCUAAGGUGAGGGCUACUCCGUUAAAUCCCGAGCUAGUUUAGUACUACCAUUAUGGAAAGUUUAGUUUCGAAACAUGGAUCCGUCUCUUUGAAUCGAGUCUGUUUGAGAGUCUUGGUUGUUCGUUAUUGAUAUUGAUUGUUAAACCGGAAAUAUGAUAAUAGAGGAUUCAACGGUUGAUUGAAUUGAUUGAUGUUAAGCAUUGUUAUAUAUAUAUAUAUAUAUAAUUGAGUCCAUGUGUUGAGAUUGCGGGGCGCAGAAAUGUCUGCGCUAGGCCGUGGGAUUUGCGGGGUACAAAGACGUUUGUACUAGGCUGCAUUGUUUGAGAUUGCGGGGUACAGAGAUAUAUGUGCUAGGCCGUGGGAUUUGCGGGGUACAAAGACGUUUGUACUAGGCUGCAUUGUUUGAGAUUGCGGGGUGCAGAGAUUUCUGCACUAGGCCGUGGAUUUGCGGAGGGUACAGAGUGGACUACUGUACUUACGACGCUUGUAGAAUUAUAUUUAUAGAUAUAUCAUCGCGGUAUGAUAUCAUCACAUUGGUUGUAGCAUGUCUAGUACUCUAGACAUAUGUUGAUUGUUUUGUGUGGUGUAAUCGACACCGUGUUUGUUUCAUGCUAGAGCUAGGCCUACAUUUUAUUAGUGCUAUGAACUGAGUCAGUGGUUUGCGGUUUAGCAUCCCAUACCUCACUGGGCGAUUCCCCUGUCGCUCACCCCUCCUUCUUUCCCCCUUUCAGGUGAGACCGACGAGCAGGAGUGAUUAUACCGGACAGGUGCUUUUGGGCUUUUACUACUAUUGGGCUUUUGGGAUUCUAUCGUUUUAUCGCUUUUAUCGUUAUCGGGCCUCUAGGCCUUUGGGCUUUUAUCGUUUAUGUUAUUUCGUAUUUCGGACUCUCGGUUUAUGUCGUAUUUUAUGUUUAAGAUUUUAUUUUAUAUUAUGGAAUUCAAGCGUGGAUGUGGACUUUCAAAUAUUUAUAUAUGGAUAUUUUAGAUAUUUGUACUUAUCGAAUUAUUUUUACUAUUUCGAAAGUGACGGGUAUCACAAUUUGGUAUCAGAGCUAUUUACUUAUCGUAACAUUUUAUUAGGUAAAUCGGGGUGUCACGGAAAGUUUCACAGGUGUCAAAAGAUAGACUAUUAGUGAAAUUGAACUUAUAGGAAUCAAAUUGACUAGAGUAGAAUGCUCAUCUUAGUUAUUGUAGAAUCUAAACAACAGAACUGCAUAAACUUAAAAUCCAAACGUAGCAGUAAUGCAAGCAUCUCCAUGUUCAGGAUCUUAACAACAUUUUAAUGUCAUCAUUAAUAGAAUAAUAGUAAACAAACCAGUAAAAAAAAUAAAACAGAAACAGAGGGAUUUAAUUAUUGCGCACAGUAGAUUUUUAAAAGUGAAAAAGAUAGAGAAACAAGCAUAAGCAAUGAUAUUAAAUCAUUACUUAAGCUUGAGGUUUGUCCCACUUGAGUGGCUUCACGACCUCCCAGGUGAAGUCAGGGUCGUCCCUUCCGAAAUGUCCAUACGCCGCCGUUUUCAAAAACCUCCCGUUGCCUCCUCUCUUCAAGUCCAAGUUGAUCGUCAUCAUCCCCGGUCUGAAAUCGAAGCUCUCCUUCACGAUCUUCAGUAUCUCCUUGUCUGGAAUCAGCCCUGUUCCGUAAGUGUCCACGAACACAGACAACGGCUCGGGUACUCCAAUGGC